rnacentral:rRNA from 1 species
UCCAGACUCCUACGGGAGGCAGCAGUGAGGAAUAUUGGUCAAUGGGCGGGAGCCUGAACCAGCCAAGUCGCGUGAGGGAAGACGGUCCUAUGGAUUGUAAACCUCUUUUGUCGGGGAGCAAAGAGGCCUCGUGAGGUCAAAAGCGAGAGUACCCGAAGAUAAAGCAUCGGCUAACUCCGUGCCAGCAGCCGCGGUAAUACGGAGGAUGCGAGCGUUAUCCGGAUUUAUUGGGUUUAAAGGGUGCGCAGGCGGUCUGUUAAGUCAGCGGUCAAAGCCCGGGGCUCAACCCCGUCGUGCCGUUGAAACUGGCGUUCUUGAGUGAGCGAGAAGUAUGCGGAAUGCGUGGUGUAGCGGUGAAAUGCAUAGAUAUCACGCAGAACUCCGAUUGCGAAGGCAGCAUACCGGCGCUCAACUGACGCUCAUGCACGAAAGCGUGGGUAUCGAACAGGAUUAGAUACCCCGGUAGAC